CCCUAUUAUUAAGAGGGAAAAAUGGAGUUAGGGAGUAGGGAAACAACUGAAAACCAUCUAGGAUGGCGGUUUUUUUUAUUAUUAGAUAGAUGUGUUUUUAAAACGAAAUUACACGACCAUCUUUCUCACUUUUGAAGAAGUCAUCCUGUACACCGCCGUCUGAAGAGUCAGCUUAAAGAGCUAGCCCUAUUUCUCUUACAUCAGAAAUAAGUCAGGUAAGGUGCAGACUAUGGGUGAGAACAAAUGCAUUUCAUUAAACCCCAAGAAAGUGGGUGAAAGACCUCUUUCAAGAAGAAUUUAACAGUAAGGUUUUUUUAUCAUAAAGUCCNNANAUAAUUUCANGAAAAUNUACNCNUCGCCCGUCNCU
rnacentral:rRNA from 1 species